UUGCUUUGGCAGCACAUACACUAGAAUUGGAACGACACAGAGAACAUUAGCAAGGCCCCCUGCAUGAGGAUGACACACCUUCGUGAAGUUUCCAUAUUUUUA
ensembl:snRNA U6 U6 spliceosomal RNA